rnacentral:rRNA from 1 species
UGAACGCUGGCGGCGUGCCUAAUACAUGCAAGUCGAGCGAACAGACGAGGAGCUUGCUCCUCUGACGUUAGCGGCGGACGGGUGAGUAACACGUGGAUAACCUACCUAUAAGACUGGGAUAACUUCGGGAAACCGGAGCUAAUACCGGAUAAUAUAUUGAACCGCAUUGUUCAAUAGUGAAAGACGGUUUUGCUGUCACUUAUAGAUGGAUCCGCGCCGCAUUAGCUAGUUGGUAAGGUAACGGCUUACCAAGGCAACGAUGCGUAGCCGACCUGAGAGGGUGAUCGGCCACACUGGAACUGAGACACGGUCCAGACUCCUACGGGAGGCAGCAGUAGGGAAUCUUCCGCAAUGGGCGAAAGCCUGACGGAGCAACGCCGCGUGAGUGAUGAAGGUCUUCGGAUCGUAAAACUCUGUUAUUAGGGAAGAACAAAUGUGUAAGUAACUAUGCACGUCUUGACGGUACCUAAUCAGAAAGCCACGGCUAACUACGUG